rnacentral:rRNA from 1 species
UACGGAGGGGGCUAGCGUUGUUCGGAAUUACUGGGCGUAAAGCGCGCGCAGGCGGUCUUCCAAGUCAGUGGUGAAAGCCCGGAGCUCAACUCCGGAACUGCCAUUGAAACUGUGAGACUGGAGUACGAGAGAGGUGAGUGGAAUUCCCAGUGUAGAGGUGAAAUUCGUAGAUAUUGGGAAGAACACCGGUGGCGAAGGCGGCUCACUGGCGCGUAACUGACGCUCAGGCGCGACAGCGUGGGGAUCAAACAGG